rnacentral:rRNA from 1 species
UGUACGUACAAGCAGUGGGAGCACCCUUUUGGGUGUGACUGCGUACCUUUUGUAUAAUGGGUCAGCGACUUAUAUUCUGUAGCAAGGUUAACCGAAUAGGGGAGCCGGAGGGAAACCGAGUCUUAAUUGGGCGUUAAGUUGCAGGGUAUAGACCCGAAACCCGGUGAUCUAGCCAUGGGCAGGUUGAAGGUUGGGUAACACUAACUGGAGGACCGAACCGACUAAUGUUGAAAAAUUAGCGGAUGACCUGUGGCUGGGGGUGAAAGGCCAAUCAAACCGGGAGAUAGCUGGUUCUCCCCGAAAGCUAUUUAGGUAGCGCCUCGUGAAUUCAUCUCCGGGGGUAGAGCACUGUUUCGGCUAGGGGGCCAUCCCGGCUUACCAACCCGAUGCAAACUGCGAAUACCGGAGAAUGUUAUCACGGGAGACACACGGCGGGUGCUAACGUCCGUCGUGAAGAGGGAAACAACCCAGACCGCCAGCUAAGGUCCCAAAGUCAUGGUUAAGUGGGAAACGAUGUGGGAAGGCCCAGACAGCCAGGAUGUUGGCUUAGAAGCAGCCAUCAUUUAAAGAAAGCGUAAUAGCUCACUGGUCGAGUCGGCCUGCGCGGAAGAUGUAACGGGGCUAAACCAUG